UGUACAUGUUCAAGUUUAAUUAUGUGCAGUUAAGAAGCAUGUAAAACACAAGAAAAUCGUACGUAAUAAUCACACUUUCAAUAACUUGCGGCCACGAGUAAUUCGAUGCGUCCAAGAGUAAUUGUUUGUGGCCAAGUGUAAUUCUUUGCAGCCAAGAAGCAUGUAAAACACAAGAGAAUCGUGCACAGUAACCACGCUUUCAAUAACUUGUGGCCACGAGUAAUUCUAUGCGGCCAAGAGUAAUCGCUUGUGGCCAAGAAGCAUGUAAAACACCUAAAUGAUAUUUUUGUUAUUUUUAGUGGAAAAAAAGUGAUAUUUUAGCAUUAGUCCGCAGGCAAAACAUAUAACGCGAACUCACAUCGAAUCUUGAGUAGUUUAGGGAUUUACUGGAUUGGGAACUUCUUGUUAUACUGUGAGAUACCAUGAGGUAUUUGAAUGAUGAAAGGUUAGAUUUUCUAAUGUGUCCGUGUCUGCUCAAUUGUGUUUUUUUUUUUUUUCCUGAAUUGGGUAAUCAUAAUAGGCUAUAUAGACUUGAUUUACUGGGCAUGCAUGAUCAGAUGGAUUAGAUAAUGGUAUUGGAUUACUGAUUACACAUGUCAUGAGAAGUCAUUCCCAGUAUUGCUUAUCCAUUUGUUUAGUAGUAGUCCUCGCGGACGUGGUAUUGCUAAUUCCUUGCUAUUUAGUCCUUCCUUGCUAUUUAGUCCGGCAAAUUCAUCCUAGAAGCAGAAAUUAGUCCGAUGGUGUCCCUCUUAAGAUUAGCUGAUGUUGUACUUCGAUUUCUAUGGUACUUGUGUUAGUGUCAUCUGAGUUUAAGCAUGCCUUACUUGUGCUGUCUGUUUAGGAGUUAGUUAGUGUGAAUCCAAGGAAGAAUUCUACAGAUGCCUGAAACUUAAGAUGAGUGGUGUCUCUUCGACUUCCAGUUUUAGUUGAUGAACUGAUAUGCAAAUCUAUAGCAUAUGAGAUUGCAGAAGAAAAUUAUUACAUGUAACAUAAUUACAAUAAUCUUGUUUAGUUAAUUAGUUUUCUGUUGGUUCGGCGGGGAAGAGUUUUCCCCAGCUGGAGCCAUUCCACAUAUGUCUUACCAUAGGUUAGAGUAGGCUUUAUAGUCAUUUUGGCAAGUAUUGUCAUUUUGAUUUCCUCCAGACAUCAUAUCCGUAGUUCUUUAUUACGCAGUAGGAACACCAGACUCUGUAUAUAUGGUUUAUUAACCACCCUUGUUUUUUGACUUUUUCGUUUAAGUUUAAGCACUCUAUCUUCUAUUUGACAUUGGCAUUGCUGUGUUGUUUGGAAGAUCAACAUAUUGACAUUAAUUAUGCAUUCUGUAUCUGAUCUCAGAUGCAUGCUUUGUAAUUGUUGUGGAAGACAAUUCAAGAGGACUAUCACUUAUUCCACUGACAAAAGCCAUGCGCUGUACAUUGGUUUAAAGGGAGACCGCGUACCAUUUGCAAGCUGGUUAUACUCGGCAAAAAGGUGUUGGCUGAAAUGGUUUGACAGAAUCAAGAAUUCUGCUUCUCGAUGAAGUGUCUGCUCUCAAAAUUUCUUUGUCGUCAAGGUCAUUAUAGGUGGUAGGGUGUUAAAUGAGUCAAGGUCAUCAUAGGCAAGGCUGUUAAAUGAGCCGAGUAUUUAUCUUCAGACUUGUCUAGGGCUUUGAAGGGAUUCUCAUUUUUUUUAGCAGUAGGUGAAAAUCUCCCAUUAAGAUGAGGAAGUACCAACAGCCUGAAAACAGUUUUUUAUUGUAAGUUUGAAGAUCUCUUAAUUACUCUUA